CUUGUACUCCCUCCGUCCGAAAAUACUUGUCAUUGAAAUGGAUGUAUCUAGAUGUAUUUUAGUUCUAGACACAUCCAUUUUGAUGACUAGUAAUUCCGGACGGAGGGAGUACUUG
rfam:Triticum aestivum genome assembly, contig: Triticum_aestivum_CS42_TGACv1_scaffold_423934_5BS